AAAUUUUUGGGAGUGCGACGUGCCUAACAACUCGGAUGCAUUCUUUAAGGAGAAUUUCCGAGUGGAAAGGAAUACAUUCCUGAUAUUGACCGAGUGAUUGAAGGGAUUGGCUAAACAAGACACGGUAAUGCGGAAGGCCAUUCCUUUAGAAAAGCGAAUUGCCAUAGCACUGUACACUCUGGGGUCAUCGUCAGAGUAUCGCGCUGUGGGCAGACUAUUAGGCGUUUUGGAUUCGAUGGUAUGUAAAAUUCUUCAAGAAUUUUGCUUUGAAGUACAUCGUGUUCUUGUACCCGAAUAUCUGCCAAAAGACUUCAUGACCCAAGAAAAACUAGAGGAGUGUGUGCAAGGCUUUGAAGCGCUUGGAUUUCCGCAAUGUUUCGGUGCAAUUGAUGGAAGCCACAGCUGAAGCUGCAGACUAUUAUAAUUAUAAAGGAUGGUACUCAACCAUACUUUUCGCUUUGGUGGAUUUUCGAUAUAGAUUUAUUUCUGUGCAUGUGGGUGCCCCAGGUCGAUGCCAUGAUUCCCAUGUGUUUGAAACCACCAGUUUAAAAAGGAUGCUGGAUUGCACAACGCUGUUUGCAGAUAACUCACAGCGCAUCGGCGGAGUCGACGUUCCUGUGGUGCUUCUUGCGAAAUCUGCUUUCAAAUUGUCGACGAAGAUUUUGAAGCCAUACCCCUUCAACACAACGGAAGACGAGGAAAGGAAGUCUUUUAAUUAUGUUCUGUCCAGAUCGAGGAGAUAGGUAGAAAAUGCCUUCGACAAUCACAUUGACAAGGUCCCGCAUAUUAUUUAUACAUGUUGCUUUCUACAUAAUUUUUUGAAUUGUCACAACAGUGACAUAUCUAAAAAUUGGGGGGCUCCAAUGUGCGUACUCAACCUGAGAGUUCGAGUACAGCCUAUGAUUUCGACAUUUCUGCAGAAAACAUUAGAAAAGCCCUUGCCAGACAUAUACAUAACAAAUAAAAAAAUAUAAAAAUUA